AUGCAUGUAUACCAACAGAGAGCAGUAAAUCAAUCAGGAGGGCUUUCCUGAAUUUGCACGCCAUGGGAUAAAUCUCUCGCUAAGAUUCCCCUCCUCUCCCCAAACACAUACUCGCCGGCUGCAUUGGUGGAAAGGCGCGCACGCUGCCGCAAACCCUUACAAACCACGCUGAGAGCUAAACUGUAAACAGUGCAGUCAUAGGCACACUGCUGCUAGAGUUGAACACGACUACCAUCAUCCUAACCUACAACGCCCCCAGGACCCCUGGCGUUGUUGUGACUCCUGACCCCACGGCAAAGCUCAAUCCAACCCACAUGCCUUUUCACUUCAAUGCUUGUAGUAGUAAUAGUAGUGGUAGCGCAAUGUGGUCCCCACAGGAGGGUUGGGAUUUCAAGGCAACAGCCGAAAGCCUGUCCAGUCAUGCACGUCCGUAGUGCUUGGAGCAGGUGGUUAAGGAUUGCAUAAACUGCUCUUGGAUAACCUGUAAUUUUCCAGUAAUCCAGGACACAACAAGAAGAUUGGACAGGAGGACAGAAACUGUGCUUUUGAAAACUGACAACAGAACCUAAUCCUACUUCUGGCCACACAUCAAGCAGUACCAGUACUUUAGAACACUUCCUGUGCAAACACCACCAAGAUUGGACACAGCUGGACAAACAUAUCAUUUUGUGAAGAUCAUGCAGUUUUGCAAUGAAGGGGGCGUCGACAUCACAUGUAUUGCAACACAAAGUCGAGGGCAGGACAGAAACAAGCUUUCUGAUCUCUGAUGAAGACCCAGUCCAAGUUGCACCCUCUGGCUAUCGGUGAUCAUUUUGCCCAGUCACAUGACUUGGUCUAUACAUUAUGCUGGGAGAGCGUGUACUCUCCGGCCUCAGCAUUGUGCCAGUGACCCUUUGAGAACCACCUUGUCCAGGCUGCAAAACAGGGCCAGUGAACACAGCCUAGCAGCUUAACGAGGCACACAUGCUCCUAAUCAAGCCUUGUUUAGGUGGAGAUAAAGAAGGCCUGAGGAAAGCAACUGGCCCUUGUUGCAUUUUAUACUGCUCUGCCCCAGCGACACAGGAGCUGAAGUAGGAGGAAGACAGCCAGAACAGAAAGGGUGCCGAGGCCGUCCAAGUAUCGACUGCCUACACCCAUUCCCUGAAACUGCCACUGUGUGGACGCUUCACAGAUGACGACACCUGCCUUCCACAGCGGUUUGGCUUUUAGUUUGCAUUCUUUCCCCAGUUUCUUCUGUUAAUAAAAUGCCAUCCAGAGCCCUGAACACUUGUCAUGUGUCUGUUCCUUGUCUCUCCAAGUUACAACGAACACACAAACAACUAUUUAAACUUCUUACCAUGAUAAUAU